AUCAGGGGUUAGGGCAGCUGAAGCACUGGAAUCUGCAAGGCAGGGCCUCAGAGAGGCAGGAGCUGUGCAGUUUAUAUAAAUAUCAUCAUGAGUUCAUUCUAAUCCCUCUAACUCUGAUCUAGUAUCACAAGGCUUUCCCUAGUUUUCUAGUCCAUACUUCUGGCUCUGUUUUUAGAAACCCAGAGCAGACUAGCAAGGUAAGUCACCAUUUUCAUUGUCAAGUCUCUCAGCUGAAGAAGAGUGUGCCCGGGGUGAGGUGGCCUAAAGCGGGGCAUGGAGCAGCCAUCACUUGUGUGAACCCCCGAGAAUGAAUGACAGAAAACCCAGAAAAUAAUGGAUUUGUUGAGAGAGCACACCAAACAUAAGUAGAAAUUUAGGGGGUACACGAUGACAUGUUUGUCUUCUAGAGCUCCAAUUAUUAUAUUAUUUAACCAAAAUUCCAAGUGACCAAAUCCACAGCAGUUCCAGCUCUUUCUGAGGAUGUCCCAUGGGAUAGGCAUGAUGCCUGGCCUACAUAGUGGGUGAGAUUCCUGCUUCCUCUUUUGACAUUCAUUCUUACAAUAAAAUGUCCAUCAGUUGAGGUAUCAGAUGUUAACUGCCUUUGACUCCUCACCACUUGUUGAUGUCUCUGUGUCACACAGGCGCUCAAGCUCCUUGAAGAUCUCCAGGCUGGUGACAUUAUUCCCCUCGGCUUUAAUUCCCUCACUGUGCAGCGCUCAAGCGGCGAUUUCAGAGCUAGGGUAGGUUUUCCAGUUUUUAAAUGAGUACGCUUCAAACACAGAGCUCAGAACUGGAUGCUUAAUCGCGCCCACUUGUGUCUGCAGAGCUCUGCAGGGUGUGGGCAUAUAGUCAGGUUUCUUCACCUGUUCGGUCACGUGCGGAUCACACAGCUAGGUUAUAGCGAUGCAGAUAAGCCCUGUUAACGCAAUAUAUACUCGAAAACCAAACCCUGCUUAAGGUGUCACAGAAAGAGACGCUGGUAUCUUUAAAAUGUCGUAUCAGAGGGAAUUUUCUGAUUACUCUAAGCAACUGAGGUCUUCAGGAAUUGGAUCCAGGGUGAAGUACCCCUGUCAAAACUGGUUUUUGAAACACUGCUGAACCUGUAAAGCCAUAUGUGAAAGCGAAGUUUAUUACCGAGUUAUGUGGCGGAUACUCAGUGUGUCCGCUGUGAGGCAUUUGAUAUUCUAUGUAUACACAUGAGCAAACACAUAUGUAAAAGACUUCAAAUUGAAACCGUAGCUGAAGUUUACAACACCCUAAAAAUACCCCAUAUAAAAACUGUAGCAAAUGGCCCUCUUUCCUACUUCCUCAAUUCUAAAGGUUCCCUCUGUCCAGAUUCAUGGCUUGCUUCGAUCCCUUCUUUCACGGAGAACCUUUAGAGUUCAAUAGACCCACUAGGUACGGAGGGGUAGAGGCAGAGAUGGAAAGCUCACCAGAUCAUGUGGUGAUCUGGUGAUCAAACCAAGGAGGACACAUUUCUGGAUGUCUCCAAAUUGAGUAGACAGCAAAAUUGUUUGGCUCUUUCUGUGGAUGUUGAAAAUUGUUUUUCCAGAAUUUCUCCAUCAUAAUUUUUGCAUGCUCUGUGCCACAAUUUGGAAAGGCUAUUACCGUGAUGAUCUUUCCUUGUCCACCAAAAACAUAUACUCUGCCCCUUAAGACCGCGAAUGGACUAGCUUAAAUCAUUUCAUGAGAAAACAGCCUAUCGCCUUCGUAACUACUACACUAUGGGUAAUAGUACAAAGAUCAGUGGACUCAAAAACCAAAAAUCUUGUUCCAGUCUUGGUUCUACUACUUACUGAGCUAUGUAACCUUGGACUAGUUGCCUGCUUCAGCUUCCUCCCAGAGGUUUCAAAAAACAGGCUUUAGGAUUCCUUGUCUCCCUCUAGGACUCCUGUCUCUCGUUUCCCCUUUGGGUACUGAGUGGAGAACAUGAAUCAUCACGCCCCUACUUGAAGGAGAGGAAGUCACCCUUAGUGUUUUUGAUUUUUUUUUUUUUUUUUUUUUUUUGUAAGACAGAUGGUUGAGGUGAGACAGAGCUACUUGUGAGGUACUGUUUUUCCCCCCUCUACUUCAUUAGAUAUUAUCAUGCUAUGAAUGCUAUUCUUUGCAGUAGGAAAUAUCAUGACCCCUCAAUCCCACCUUAUGGUCCAGAUCCUCAGGAGGGGAUGAUGGUGAGUCAGUAUGGCAGUCAAAUUAUACAGAGACUGAGAAGUUAGGAAGUACUCGCUCAGAUCUCAAGUCAAAUAUAGCCAGUUAAACUGUCCUGGUGCUUAGCACGGGGCCAGAGAGUGCCAGAGCCUUCUCUUUGGAGAUGGACUCACUCUCUCCUGUUCCUUGCGUAAAACCCAGCUACUUCUCAAGGUCUUCUCUGGCCCAUCCAGAUGAAGUUAGCAACCUUCACCCCCAAGUAUUGUAAUCACUCCUGUGUAGCACAUACUAUGUUUCAUUGUAAUUUAUUUUAGUGUGGGUCUGUCACCCCCAAUAGACUUUGAGAUCCUCAGAGAUUGUUAAUCUUUGAUUAGCCAGCACUUACACAGCACCUCACAUAUAGUAGGAGCGAAACAAAUGCCUGAAUCCCCAAACCCACUAUUUCUUCAAACUGUAGGCUCAAGGAGAAAGGAAUGUGUUGCAAUCGCCAGGGAGUCUGAAACCUCUCACCAAAGGAUCGCCAAUGGCUGCGUCUAAAUUCAGAGGCAGCGUCAGGGCCUACACGUCCUCCCUGCCAGUUCCCCAGAAUGCUUUAGCUGGACCUGCCACUCAAGACGUCCAAAACCCAGAGGCAGAGAUAACACACUAGAAGCGGGGUUGUCAUCCCUGAAUCAAAAUGCAGUAUCAGUUUUCACUGAAGGCCCUUGGUCCCCUAUUCCUAUCAUCCUGAGGGAAAGAAGUGCUCAUCAAAUCAAAAAAUUUGCUUCUGGCACGGGAAUUUCCUUAUUUUGAAGUUACUGUGGGAUAAAACCAUUUUUGUGUGUAAUAAAAAUGAUGAAAAAUAUAUAAAGUAUCUGAAGGCUUUUGCAUAAGUGUUCUGAUAUGGAACCUUGCUGAGAAUGUGAAAGUUAAAUGGAGAAAAGAAGUUGGCGGGACAACAUGUCACUGCCUCUACAAGCUCACACAAUUUAGAGAAGUGCCCCUCAGGUACUCUGUUAGAACCUAUUUAUUCUAAUUUUAGAUGCAUUUCAAAUGGGUGUGGUUUUGGUUAAAUGGUUUCCCAGCCCACAGUAAGUCAGAAGUAGCAAAUUAGAUAAGACUUAUUAGGCAGGCGCUCUGACACAUCAAGAAGUGAUAGCUGGCAGCCUGACCCUGAAUAAAGAGACUGAAAAACCUAUAAAAAGCGGUUAUAAGAACUCAAAGAGAAUUCUGUGCAGGUGCCAGUUCUCCCAGAUGAAGUGUGUAGUGCAAAAGUGAUGUUUAUAAUCAUGACCCUGAAUUAUUGAGAAAGGUUAACUUUCUCAGUAGGGUGUUUUUUUCUAAGACAUGUGUAACAUAUUUUACUAAGCUUUUCACUAAAAAUAAAUAAGUAAUAAAGGUAAACAAUGUUGGCACCUCAACACAGAAGCUUCUGUUUUCUCAACCAUUGUUUCAUGGGGGCACAUAUCAUUCCCUGAAGCCACGUAAAUUGGGCAUCACUGAAUUCAGGAUUUUAAAACAUCAACUUUUUAAAAGGUUGACUUUUACAUUUGUUUGGAGUUUUGAAUAUAGAAUCACUGAACAAGUGCAAGAAACCCAAUUUAAGACAAGUGUCCGACUCUUUUCCUGGAGCAUUUUUAUUUUUAUUUAUUUUAUUUUAUUUUAAUUUUUUGGCUGUGUUGGGUCUCUGUUGCUGCGAACGGGCUUUCUCUAGUCGCAACGGGCGGGGGCUACUCUUCGUUGUGGUGCGCAGGCUUCUCACUGUGGUGACUUCUCUUGUUGAGGAGCACGGGCUCUAGGCACGCAGGCUUCAGUAGUUGUGGCAUGCGGGCUCAGUAGUUGUGGCACAUGGGCUUAGUUGCUGCACGGCAUGUGGGAUCUUGCCGGACCAGAGCUCAAACCCAUGUCCCCUGCAUUGGCAG